GAUGAACGCUAGCUACAGGCUUAACACAUGCAAGUCGAGGGGAAACGGCAUUUAGUGCUUGCACCGAAUGGACGUCGACCGGCGCACGGGUGAGUAACGCGUAUCCAACCUUCCCAUAACUAAGGAAUAACCUGCCGAAAGGCAGACUAAUACCUUAUGUAAUCCUUUGAUGGCAUCAGAUAAGGAUAAAAGAUUUAUCGGUUAUGGAUGGGGAUGCGUCUGAUUAGCUUGUUGGCGGGGUAACGGCCCACCAAGGCAACGAUCAGUAGGGGUUCUGAGAGGAAGGUCCCCCACAUUGGAACUGAGACACGGUCCAAACUCCUACGGGAGGCAGCAGUGAGGAAUAUUGGUCAAUGGACGGAAGUCUGAACCAGCCAAGUAGCGUGCAGGAAGACGGCCCUAUGGGCUGUAAACCGCUUUUGUAUGGGGAUAAAGUCAAUCACGUGUGAUUGUUUGCAGGUACCAUACGAAUAAGGACCGGCUAAUUCCGUGCCAGCAGCCGCGGUAAUACGGAAGGUUCGGGCGUUAUCCGGAUUUAUUGGGUUUAAAGGGAGCGUAGGCCGGAGAUUAAGUGUGUUGUGAAAUGUAGACGCUCAACGUCUGACUUGCAGCGCAUACUGGUUUCCUUGAGUACGCACAACGUUGGCGGAAUUCGUCGUGUAGCGGUGAAAUGCUUAGAUAUGACGAAGAACUCCGAUUGCGAAGGCAGCUGACGGGAGCGCAACUGACGCUGAAGCUCGAAGGUGCGGGUAUCGAACAGG
rnacentral:rRNA from 1 species